AGGCUUAACACAUGCAAGUCGAGCGCCCCGCAAGGGGAGCGGCAGACGGGUGAGUAACGCGUGGGAAUCUACCCAUCUCUACGGAAUAACUCAGGGAAACUUGUGCUAAUACCGUAUACGCCCUUCGGGGGAAAGAUUUAUCGGAGAUGGAUGAGCCCGCGUUGGAUUAGCUAGUUGGUGGGGUAAAGGCCUACCAAGGCGACGAUCCAUAGCUGGUCUGAGAGGAUGAUCAGCCACAUUGGGACUGAGACACGGCCCAAACUCCUACGGGAGGCAGCAGUGGGGAAUAUUGGACAAUGGGCGCAAGCCUGAUCCAGCCAUGCCGCGUGAGUGAUGAAGGCCUUAGGGUUGUAAAGCUCUUUCACCGGAGAAGAUAAUGACGGUAUCCGGAGAAGAAGCCCCGGCUAACUUCGUGCCAGCAGCCCGCGGUAAUACGAAGGGGGCUAGCCGUUGUUCGGAAUUACUGGGCGUAAAGCGCACGUAGGCGGAUCGAUCAGUCAGGGGUGAAAUCCCAGAGCUCAACUCUGGAACUGCCUUUGAUACUGUCGAUCUAGAGUAUGGAAGAAGUGAGUGGAAUU
rnacentral:rRNA from 1 species